GUAGUGGGGGACAACGUUUCGAAAGGAACGCUAAUACCGCAUACGUCCUACGGGAGAAAGCAGGGGACCUUCGGGCCUUGCGCUAUCAGAUGAGCCUAGGUCGGAUUAGCUAGUUGGUGGGGUAAAGGCCUACCAAGGCGACGAUCCGUAACUGGUCUGAGAGGAUGAUCAGUCACACUGGAACUGAGACACGGUCCAGACUCCUACGGGAGGCAGCAGUGGGGAAUAUUGGACAAUGGGCGAAAGCCUGAUCCAGCCAUGCCGCGUGUGUGAAGAAGGUCUUCGGAUUGUAAAGCACUUUAAGUUGGGAGGAAGGGCAGUAAGUUAAUACCUUGCUGUUUUGACGUUACCAACAGAAUAAGCACCGGCUAACUUCGUGCACGAGCAGCCGCGGGGAAUACUGAGUAGGGUGCAAACGUUAUUAUCGGAAUUAUUCUGGGCGUAAACGCGCGCGCAGGGGGUUUGGUAAGAUGCAUGGUGAAUAUCCCCGGGCUCACACCCGGGAAACUGCAUCAAUAACUGACUGCAAUAGCUAGUACGGGAGAGGGUGGGGGAAUUUCCUGUGUAGCGCAGAAAAAUGCGUAGAUAUAGGAAGAGAACACCAGGGGCGAAAACGCACCACCCCGGACUGAUACUGACACUGUCAGGCGCGAAAGCGUGGGGAGCAAACACGAGAUUAGAUAUCCCUGGUAGUCCACACCGUAUAACGAUGUCGACAUAGCCGUUUGUGGAUCCUUGAGAUCUUCAGUGACGCAAGCUAACGCGAUGAAGUCGACCCCCUGGGGAAGUACGGCCGCAAGGUUAGAAACUUCAAAUGAAAUGACGGGGGACCGCCCCAACGGUGGGACAAGUGGUUUAAUUUGAAGCAACCGGAAGAACCUUUCCCCGCCUUUGCCAGUCCAGGAUCUUGCCGAGAAUGGAGAGGUCCUUGAAGAAUAGCAACCCCGCAGGUGCAGCACGGUUGUCAUCAGGUGUCGUGAGAAGAUGGGGUAAGUACUCUAGCGAGGACAACCAUCCUCCUCAGUAGUCAGCACAUUCAGGUGGGCACUCUAAGGGGACUGCCGGUGACAAACCGGAGGAAGGUGGGGAUGACGUCAAGUCAUCAUGGCCCUUAUAGCCAGGGCUACACACGUCAUACAAUGGUCGGUACAAAGGGUUGCCAACCCGCGAGGGGGAGCUAAUCCCAUAAAACCGGUCGUAGUCCGGAUCGCAGUCUGCAACUCGACUGCGUGAAGUCGGAAUCGCUAGUAAUCGUGAAUCAGAAUGUCACGGUGAAUACGUUCCCGGGCCUUGUACACACCGCCCGUCACACCAUGGGAGCUGGGUCGCUCCAGAAGUAGGUAG
rnacentral:rRNA from 1 species